rnacentral:rRNA from 1 species
CCCUUAGACGUUCUGGGCCGCACGCGCGCUACACUGACCAGUGCAACAAGCAUCCGUCCUUGGCCGACAGGCCCGGGCAACCUUUGAACGCCAGUCGUGCUGGGGAUAGAUUCUUGCAAUUAUUAAUCUUCAACGAGGAAUUCCUAGUAAACGCAAGUCAUCAGCUUGCAUUGAUUACGUCCCUGCCCUUUGUACACACCGCCCGUCGCACCUACCGAUUGAAUGGUCCGGUGAAAUCCUCGGAUCGAGCCGUGGGGCAACUCCGGUUCGAGAAGUUGAUUAAACCUUACCAUUUAGAGGAAGGUGAANUCGUAACA